CUGGUAUUGAUUGGUGCUUGCAUCAUGAUUUACAUUUGAGUGAGUGGCGAACUGGUGAGUAACACGUGGGAAACCUGCCCAGAAGCGGGGGAUAACACCUGGAAACAGAUGCUAAUACCGCAUAACAACUUGGACCGCAUGGUCCGAGUUUGAAAGAUGGCUUCGGCUAUCACUUUUGGAUGGUCCCGCGGCGUAUUAGCUAGAUGGUGGGGUAACGGCUCACCAUGGCAAUGAUACGUAGCCGACCUGAGAGGGUAAUCGGCCACAUUGGGACUGAGACACGGCCCAAACUCCUACGGGAGGCAGCAGUAGGGAAUCUUCCACAAUGGACGAAAGUCUGAUGGAGCAACGCCGCGUGAGUGAAGAAGGGUUUCGGCUCGUAAAACUCUGUUGUUAAAGAAGAACAUAUCUGAGAGUAACUGUUCAGGUAUUGACGGUAUUUAACCAGAAAGCCACGGCUAACUACGUGCCAGCAGCCGCGGUAAUACGUAGGUGGCAAGCGUUGUCCGGAUUUAUUGGGCGUAAAGCGAGCGCAGGCGGUUUUUUAAGUCUGAUGUGAAAGCCUUCGGCUCAACCGAAGAAGUGCAUCGGAAACUGGGAAACUUGAGUGCAGAAGAGGACAGUGGAACUCCAUGUGUAGCGGUGAAAUGCGUAGAUAUAUGGAAGAACACCAGUGGCGAAGGCGGCUGUCUGGUCUGUAACUGACGCUGAGGCUCGAAAGUAUGGGUAGCAAACAGGAUUAGAUACCCUGGUAGUCCAUACCGUAAACGAUGAAUGCUAAGUGUUGGAGGGUUUCCGCCCUUCAGUGCUGCAGCUAACGCAUUAAGCAUUCCGCCUGGGGAGUACGGCCGCAAGGCUGAAACUCAAAGGAAUUGACGGGGGCCCGCACAAGCGGUGGAGCAUGUGGUUUAAUUCGAAGCUACGCGAAGAACCUUACCAGGUCUUGACAUACUAUGCAAAUCUAAGAGAUUAGACGUUCCCUUCGGGGACAUGGAUACAGGUGGUGCAUGGUUGUCGUCAGCUCGUGUCGUGAGAUGUUGGGUUAAGUCCCGCAACGAGCGCAACCCUUAUUAUCAGUUGCCAGCAUUAAGUUGGGCACUCUGGUGAGACUGCCGGUGACAAACCGGAGGAAGGUGGGGAUGACGUCAAAUCAUCAUGCCCCUUAUGACCUGGGCUACACACGUGCUACAAUGGAUGGUACAACGAGUUGCGAACUCGCGAGAGUAAGCUAAUCUCUUAAAGCCAUUCUCAGUUCGGAUUGUAGGCUGCAACUCGCCUACAUGAAGUCGGAAUCGCUAGUAAUCGCGGAUCAGCAUGCCGCGGUGAAUACGUUCCCGGGCCUUGUACACACCGCCCGUCACACCAUGAGAGUUUGUAACACCCAAAGUCGGUGGGGUAA
rnacentral:rRNA from 2 species